rnacentral:pre_miRNA from 17 species
CGAAGGAUGUAUAAUCAGACUGGGACCUGGUUCAAGUAAUCCAGGAUAGGCUGUGUAGCUUCUGGUUGGCCUAUUCUUGAUUGCUUGCACUAGGGGGCAGUCACAGUACACAGAAUGCGCC